rnacentral:rRNA from 1 species
AGACAGCAGCCGCCGCGGUAAUACAGAGGGUGCGAGCGUUAAUCGGAUUUACUGGGCGUAAAGCGUGUGUAGGCGGCUAAUUGAGUCGGAUGUGAAAUCCCCGAGCUUAACUUGGGAAUUGCAUUCGAUACUGGUUAGCUAGAGUGUGGGAGAGGAUGGUAGAAUUCCAGGUGUAGCGGUGAAAUGCGUAGAGAUCUGGAGGAAUACCGAUGGCGAAGGCAGCCAUCUGGCCUAACACUGACGCUGAGGUACGAAAGCAUGGGGAGCAAACAGGAUUAGAUACCCGAGUAGUCCCUGUCUCUUAUAC